rnacentral:rRNA from 1 species
CCUACGGGGGGCAGCAGUGAGGAAUAUUCGUCAAUGGGGGAAACCCUGAACGAGCAACGCCGCGUGGAGGAUGAAGGCCUUCGGGUCGUAAACUUCUUUUAGGGGAGACGAGAAAGGACGGUAUCCCCGGAAUCAGUCACGGCUAACUACGUGCCAGCAGCCGCGGUAAUACGUAGGUGACGAGCGUUAUCCGGAUUUACUGGGCGUAAAGCGCUUGUAGGUGGUGCCGUAAGUUGGGCGUGAAAUCCCCGGGCUUAACCCGGAGAGGCCGUCCAAUACUGCGGUGCUAGAGGAUGUCAGAGGAAGGUGGAAUUCCUGGUGUAGUAGUGAAAUGCGUAGAUAUCAGGAGGAACACCCGUGGCGAAGGCGACCUUCUGGGACGUACCUGACACUGAGAAGCGAAAGCCAGGGGAGCAAACAGGAUUAGAAACCCUGGUAGUCCUGGCUGUAAACGAUGAAUACUAGGUGUAGGCGGCGUAAAACCUGUCUGUGCCGAAGCAAACGCGUUAAGUAUUCCGCCUGGGAAGUACGGUCGCAAGAUUAAAACUCAAAGGAAUUGACGGA